UAGGGAAUCUUCCACAAUGGACGAAAGUCUGAUGGAGCAACGCCGCGUGAGUGAAGAAGGGUUUCGGCUCGUAAAACUCUGUUGUUAAAGAAGAACAUAUCUGAGAGUAACUUGUUCAGGUAUUGACGGUAUUUAACCAGAAAGCCACGGUCUAACUACGUGCCAC
rnacentral:rRNA from 1 species